rnacentral:rRNA from 1 species
UACGAAGGGGGCUAGCGUUGCUCGGAAUCACUGGGCGUAAAGGGUGCGUAGGCGGGUUUUUAAGUCAGGGGUGAAAUCCUGGAGCUCAACUCCAGAACUGCCUUUGAUACUGAAGAUCUUUGAGUCCGGGAGAGGUGAGUGGAACUGCGAGUGUAGAGGUGAAAUUCGUAGAUAUUCGCAAGAACACCAGUGGCGAAGGCGGCUCACUGGCCCGGUACUGACGCUGAGGCACGAAAAGCGUGGGGGAGCAAACAGG